rnacentral:rRNA from 1 species
AACGAACGCUGGCGGCAGGCUUAACACAUGCAAGUCGAACGGGCCCUUCGGGGUCAGUGGCAGACGGGUGAGUAACGCGUGGGAACGUGCCCUUCAGUUUGGGAUAACCCAGGGAAACUUGGGCUAAUACCGGAUACGUGCGAGAGCAGAAAGAUUUGUCGCUGAAGGAUCGGCCCGCGUCUGAUUAGCUGGUUGGUAGGGUAAUGGCCUACCAAGGCGACGAUCAGUAGCUGGUCUGAGAGGAUGAUCAGCCACAUUGGGACUGAGACACGGCCCAAACUCCUACGGGAGGCAGCAGUGGGGAAUAUUGGACAAUGGGCGCAAGCCUGAUCCAACCAUGCCGCGUGAGUGAUGAAGGCCUUAGGGUUGUAAAGCUCUUUCAGUGGGGACGAUAAUGACGGUACCCGCAGAAGAAGCCCCGGCUAACUUCGUGCCAGCCGCCGCUGUAA